rnacentral:rRNA from 1 species
GACGAACGCUGGCGGCGUGCUUAACACAUGCAAGUCGAACGGAAAGGCCCUGCUUUUGUGGGGUGCUCGAGUGGCGAACGGGUGAGUAACACGUGAGUAACCUGCCCUUGACUUUGGGAUAACUUCAGGAAACUGGGGCUAAUACCGGAUAGGAGCUCCUGCUGCAUGGUGGGGGUUGGAAAGUUUCGGCGGUUGGGGAUGGACUCGCGGCUUAUCAGCUUGUUGGUGGGGUAGUGGCUUACCAAGGCUUUGACGGGUAGCCGGCCUGAGAGGGUGACCGGCCACCUUGGGGCUGAGAUACGGCCCAGAAUCCUAUGGGAGGCAGCAGUGGGGAAUAUUGCACAAUGGGCGGAAGCCUGAUGCAGCAACGCCGCGUGCGGGAUGACGGCCUUCGGGUUGUAAACCGCUUUCGCCUGUGACGAAGCGUGAGUGACGGUAAUGGGUAAAGAAGCACCGGCUAACUACGUG